rnacentral:rRNA from 1 species
AACGAACGCUGGCGGCAUGCCUAACACAUGCAAGUCGAACGAGACCUCCGGGUCUAGUGGCGCACGGGUGCGUAACGCGUGGGAACCUGCCCUUAGGCUCGGAAUAACUCCCCGAAAGGGGUGCUAAUACCGGAUAAUGUCUUCGGACCAAAGAUUUAUCGCCUUUGGAUGGGCCCGCGUUGGAUUAGCUAGUUGGUAUGGUAAAAGCCUACCAAGGCGACGAUACAUAGCUGGUCAGAGAGGCUGAGCAGCCACACUGGGACUGAGACACGGUCCAGAAUACUACGGGAGGCGGCAGUGGGGAAUAUUGGAAAAUGGGCGAAAGGAUGAACGAGCAAGGCCGGGUGAGUGAUGAAGGCCUUAGGGUUGUAAAGCUCUUUUACCCGGGAUGAUAAUGACAGUACCGGGAGAAUAAGCUCCGGCUAACUCCGUG